rnacentral:rRNA from 1 species
GAUGAACGCUGGCGGCGUGCUUAACACAUGCAAGUCGAACGGUGAAGGCGGAGCUUGCUCUGCUGGAUCAGUGGCGAACGGGUGAGUAACACGUGAGCAAUCUGCCCCUGACUCUGGGAUAAGCGCUGGAAACGGCGUCUAAUACUGGAUACGAGCUGCGAAGGCAUCUUCAGCAGCUGGAAAGAAUUUCGGUCAGGGAUGAGCUCGCGGCCUAUCAGCUUGUUGGUGAGGUAAUGGCUCACCAAGGCGUCGACGGGUAGCCUGCCUGAGAGGGUGACCGGCCACACUGGGACUGAGACACGGCCCAGACUCCUACGGGAGGCAGCAGUGGGGAAUAUUGCACAAUGGGCGAAAGCCUGAUGCAGCAACGCCGCGUGAGGGACGACGGCCUUCGGGUUGUAAACCUCUUUUAGCAGGGAAGAAGCGAAAGUGACGGUACCUGCAGAAAAAGCGCCGGCUAACUACGUG